AGAGUUUGCUUCUGGCUCAGGAUGAACGCUAGCGGCAGGCUUAACACAUGCAAGUCGAGGGGCAUCGGGAGGGAAGCUUGCUUUCCUUGCCGGCGACCGGCGCACGGGUGAGUAACACGUAUGCAACCUGCCCUCUUCAGGGGGACAACCUUCCGAAAGGGAGGCUAAUCCCGCGUAUAUCGGUUUCGGGCAUCCGAGAUCGAGGAAAGAUUCAUCGGAAGAGGAUGGGCAUGCGGCGCAUUAGCUAGACGGCGGGGUAACGGCCCACCGUGGCGACGAUGCGUAGGGGUUCUGAGAGGAAGGUCCCCCACACUGGUACUGAGACACGGACCAGACUCCUACGGGAGGCAGCAGUGAGGAAUAUUGGUCAAUGGGAGAGAUCCUGAACCAGCCAAGCCGCGUGAGGGAAGACGGCCCUAUGGGUUGUAAAUCUCUUUUGUCGGAGAACAAAACCCGGGACGAGUCCCGGACUGCGUGUAUCCGAAGAAAAAGCAUCGGCUAACUCCGUGCCAGCAGCCGCGGUAAUACGGAGGAUGCGAGCGUUAUCCGGAUUUAUUGGGUUUAAAGGGUGCGUAGGCGGUCCGUUAAGUCAGCGGUAAAAUUGCGGGGUUCAACCCCGUCGAGCCGUUGAAACUGGCAGACUUGAGUUGGCGAGAAGUACGGGGAAUGCGCGGUGUAGCGGUGAAAUGCAUAGAUAUCGCGCAGAACUCCGAUUUGCGAAGGCAGUGUACCGGCGCCAGACUGACGCUGAGGCACGAAAGCGUGGGGAUCGAACAGGAUUAGAUACCCUGGUAGUCCACGCAGUAAACGAUGAAUGCUGGUUGUCCGGGUCGAAUGAGACCUGGGCGGCGAAGCGAAAGCGAUAAGCAUUCCACCUGGGGAGUACGCCGGCAACGGUGAAACUCAAAGGAAUUGACGGGGGCCCGCACAAGCGGAGGAACAUGUGGUUUAAUUCGAUGAUACGCGAGGAACCUUACCCGGGCUCAAACGGGAGUGGAAUGGACCAGAGACGGUUCAGCCUACGGGCCGCUUCCGAGGUGCUGCAUGGUUGUCGUCAGCUCGUGCCGUGAGGUGUCGGCUUAAGUGCCAUAACGAGCGCAACCCCCGCCGGCAGUUGCUAACGGGCAAUGCCGAGGACUCUGCCGGGACUGCCGCCGCAAGGCGUGAGGAAGGCGGGGAUGACGUCAAAUCAGCACGGCCCUUACGUCCGGGGCGACACACGUGUUACAAUGGGCGGUACAGCGGGAAGCCAGGCGGCGACGCCGAGCGGAACCCGAAAGCCGUUCUCAGUUCGGAUCGGAGUCUGCAACCCGACUCCGUGAAGCUGGAUUCGCUAGUAAUCGCGCAUCAGCCAUGGCGCGGUGAAUACGUUCCCGGGCCUUGUACACACCGCCCGUCA
rnacentral:rRNA from 1 species